rnacentral:lncRNA from 1 species
UCAUUGAAGUUGUUCCUCAGCUUGUGAACUACAACAUAUCCAAAUUUGAGAUCCCUCGGAGCAGUAUAACUCCAGAAAUCCAGGUAUGAUGAAUGACUGGUUAUUAUUUUUCUGUCAACCCGUCAGAUUUGUUGUGAGCUUUGAAACUCUAUUUUUCUCUUGCUCAGAUCAGCAUGCUUUCUUCAUUGAAGUUGUUCCUCAGCUUGUGAACUACAACAUAUCCAAAUUUGAGAUCCUCUCGGAGCAGUAUAACUCCAGAAAUCCAGGUAUGAUGAAUGACUGGUUAUUAUUUUUCUGUCAACCCGUCAGAUUUGUUGUGAGCUUUGAAACUCUAUUUUCUCUUGUUCAGAUCGGUAUGCUUUCUUCAUUGAAGUUGUUCCUUCAUCGUCUCUUUCAUAACAUAUCAAAAAUUCAGAAUGAACUAAUGGUUAAAUAUUUCCAGAUCUUCGAAACAUCACAGCAGCUUCGAAAUCUGCAAGAAUCCGACUGUCAUGUUUGGAGCUUCAACACUUUAAUUUCCGUCGCUCAAACAGAAAUGGUUCCUUCUUGAAAGUUGUUCAUAUCUGCUCAAGAACUAUAGGGCGUCCAAAAUUCAGCUCCAUUGGAGAAGAGCAGAGGUUGCAGAAAUUUGAUAGAUGAAAGGAGGCGGAAGAAGGGAGAGAGAGAAAAAGUCUCUUGGGUUGGAUUUCUAUUUUGGGGCAGAUUCCAAUUUUUGUAGCACCUUCAUUAUUGAUGAAUUGCUUGUACUUUUGUCCAUUAUGAAACUUGGGACUUUGGCUUGUUGUUGGAUCUAUUAUAAUAUGUUUGGGAAC